CUACUAUAUAACUCUUGACGUGUUCAUGUGGCUACUAACUCUUGAUGAAGGGCCUUCGCUCGAAACGUUGAGUUUCUGCUUGUUCUUUUCAGGUAAUAAUAUAACCACUCAGCACAGCAAGUCAGUCACAUUGGUACCACCCACACUGGUGCAGACAGUUUUAGUAUGUUCACAGAACAACUGAACAAUCUGCUGAUGGGGAGACAAAAUCUAUUUGUUGACAUUUCUGUUUAAUAUGUCAGCUUCAGAUGAUGACACCGUUCAUUGUAUAAAUGACUAAGAUUGUACUCAGUCAUAACAGCAAAACUAUAUAAUAAGAAAGAAAUUGUGAGCAUUAUCAAAAAAUAUUGAAUACCCUGAACACAUCACACAUGCAGCCAGGUGAAUAUGUGAAUGUAGG